rnacentral:rRNA from 1 species
UACAGAGGUCCCAAGCGUUGUUCGGAUUCAUUGGGCGUAAAGGGUGCGUAGGCGGCGCGGUGAAGUCGGGUGUGAAAUCUCGGGGCUUAACCUCCGAACUGCAUUCGAUACUGCCGUGCUUGAGGACUGGAGAGGAGACUGGAAUUUACGGUGUAGCGGUGAAAUGCGUAGAUAUCGUAAGGAAGACCAGUGGCGAAGGCGGGUCUCUGGACAGUUCCUGACGCUGAGGCACGAAGCCAGGGGAGCAAACGGG